UGGGGAAUAUUGGACAAUGGGCGAAAGCCUGAUCCAGCCAUGCCGCGUGUGUGAAGAAGGUCUUCGGAUUGUAAAGCACUUUAAGUUGGGAGGAAGGGCAGUAAGCGAAUACCUUGCUGUUUUGACGUUACCGACAGAAUAAGCACCGGCUAACCCUGUGCCAGCAGCCGCGGUAAUACAGAGGGUGCAAGCGUUAAUCGGAAUUACUGGGCGUAAAGCGCGCGUAGGUGGUUCGUUAAGUUGAAUGUGAAAGCCCCGGGCUCAACCUGGGGAGUGCAUAGAAAAAAGGCAAGCUAGGGUAGGGCAGAGGGGGGAGGAAUUUCGUGUGUAGAGGUGAAAUGCGUAGAUAUAGGAAGGAACACCAGUGGCGAAGGCGACAACCUGGGCUCAUACUGACACUGAGGUGCGAAAGCGUGGGGAGCAAACAGG
rnacentral:rRNA from 1 species